AACGAACGCUGGCGGCAGGCCUAACACAUGCAAGUCGAGCGGACCCUUCGGGGUUAGCGGCGGACGGGUGAGUAACGCGUGGGAAUAUGCCCUUCUCUACGGAAUAGUCCUGGGAAACUGGGGGUAAUACCGUAUACGCCCUUUGUGGGAAAGAUUUAUCGGGGAAGGAUUAGCCCGCGUUGGAUUAGGUAGUUGGUGGGGUAAUGGCCUACCAAGCCGACGAUCCAUAGCUGGUUUGAGAGGAUGAUCAGCCACACUGGGACUGAGACACGGCCCAGACUCCUACGGGAGGCAGCAGUGGGGAAUCUUAGACAAUGGGGGCAACCCUGAUCUAGCCAUGCCGCGUGAGUGAUGAAGGCCUUAGGGUUGUAAAGCUCUUUAAGCUGGGAAGAUAAUGACGGUACCAGAAGAAGAAGCCCCGGCUAACUCCGUG
rnacentral:rRNA from 1 species